CCUACGGGAGGCAGCAGUGGGGAAUCUUGCGCAAUGGACGAAAGUCUGACGCAGCCAUGCCGCGUGAAUGAUGAAGGUCUUAGGAUUGUAAAGUUCUUUAGCCUGUGACGAUGAUGACGGUAACAGGAGAAUAAGCCCCGGCUAACUUCGUGCCAGCAGCCGCGGUAAUACGAAGGGGGCUAGCGUUGUUCGGAAUUACUGGGCGUAAAGCGCGCGUAGGCGGUUAUGCAAGCCAGAGGUGAAAUGCCUGAGCUCAACUUAGGAAUUGCCUUUGGAACUGCAUGGCUUUGAGGACGAGAGAGGUGAGUGGAAUUCCCAGUGUAGAGGUGAAAUUCGUAGAUAUUGGGAAGAACACCGGUGGCGAAGGCGGCUCACUGGCUCGUUUCUGACGCUGUAGCGCGAAAGCGUGGGGAUCAAACAGGAUUAGAUACCCUGGUAGUCCACGCUGUAAACGAUGAGUGCUAGGCGUUGGCACGCUUGCGUGUCAGUGCGCNGCUACGCGUGAGCACUCCGCCGUCGGGGAGGUACGGUCGCGAAGAAGUUAAAACGUUAAAGUAGUAAGUUAGUACGGCGUGAGACGUAGCCGAACGGACGACGACGAGGGGAGGAGGG
rnacentral:rRNA from 1 species